rnacentral:rRNA from 1 species
GUGGGGAAUCUUAGACAAUGGGGGAAACCCUGAUCUAGCCAUGCCGCGUGAUCGAUGAAGGCCUUAGGGUUGUAAAGAUCUUUCAGGUGGGAAGAUAAUGACUGUACCACCAGAAGAAGCCCCGGCUAACUCCGUGCCAGCAGCCGCGGUAAUACGGAGGGGGCUAGCGUUGUUCGGAAUUACUGGGCGUAAAACGCACGUAGGCGGAACAGAAAGUCAGAGGUGAAAUCCCAGGGCUCAACCUUGGAACUGCCUUUGAAACUCCUGUUCUUGAGGUCGAGAGAGGUGAGUGGAAUUCCGAGUGUAGAGGUGAAAUUCGUAGAUAUUCGGAGGAACACCAGUGGCGAAGGCGGCUCACUGGCUCGAUACUGACGCUGAGGUGCGAAAGCGUGGGGAGCAAACAGGAUUAGAAACCCUUGUAGUCC